rnacentral:snRNA from 1 species
UUGUUAUCAGCAGCACAUAUACUAAAAUUGGCACCAUACCGAGAUUAGCAUGGCCCCUGCACAAGGAUGACAUGCAAAUUCAUGAAGAGUUUUGUAUUGCA